rfam:Triticum aestivum genome assembly, contig: Triticum_aestivum_CS42_TGACv1_scaffold_473230_6AL
CUAGUACUCCCUCCGUCCCAAAAUUCUUGUUUUAGAUUUGUCUAGAUACGAAUGUAUCUAACACUAAAAUAUAAUUAACUACAUCUGUAUUUAGACAAAUAUAAGAAAAGAAUUUUGAGACGAAGAAAGUAUAUG